UAUCUGAACAUUUCUCAAAUAAAUAUAUAUUAACUUGAGAAGUAAAAUGACUUAUUAAGUCUUGCUUUCUAAUAAAAACUUUAAACUAUGUGAACCUUUACAUAAAAAAACAAGGAGACCGUUUUUGACUCGUUUCAAACACAACAUCAUUUCUAUUAAUUUUCUUCUUAAAUAAACGUGUCUUGAUUUAUGAAUAUAUAUAAAUGUGUUCUGGGAAAGACAAAAACAAAACACAAAUUAAAGUCAAACGCUGAUGUCUACUUCCUGUGGAGGCUGGGCCGUGAUUGGCCGGAUUUAAAGUGUCAUCAAGAUCUCGAGCGACUGAUUGUGAAGAGGAAGGAAGUGAUGUUCUCCGUAACAGGAAGAGACCCACUGCUUCUGUAAAUGUCCUGAUCCCUCGUUAGACGCGGCAGACAGGAAGUGAUGUCAUCACGGUCAGGCUCUCGUAUAUUUUAGGGCGGAACUUCCUGUCCGUCUGACCAAUGACGCGUGGAGGUGAAUCAGUUCAUGUCUUCCUGUCAGCGCUCACAGAUUUCUGAGGAAGUAGCAGAUGGAAGACAGGAAGUGGUUUCUCAUUGUUCUGUGUCCAGAGGGGCCUUUUCUUAUCCUUCCUCUGUUCAGCGUCUAAAGCGGUGACCUUCAACACGACUGAAGCAGAAGCAGUGUGUGUCUGAGUUGAGUGUGUGCUUCAUCAGGCCUUUAUGAAUCAUCUAGUCUGAAACAGGACGUGUGAGUGUGAGUGUGUAUGUGUGUGUGUGUGAGUGUGUGUGUGUGUGUGUAUGUGAGAGUGUGUGUGUGUGUGUGUGUGUAUGUG